CCUACGGGAGGCAGCAGUAGGGAAUAUUGGGCAAUGGAGGGAACUCUGACCCAGCCACGCCGCGUGCAGGAGGAAGGCGCUCUGCGUUGUAAACUGCUUUAGCAGGGGAAGAAAAAGGCCAUGCGUGGCAAAUUGACGGUACCCUGAGAAUAAGCACCGGCUAACUACGUGCCAGCAGCCGCGGUAAUACGUAGGGUGCAAGCGUUGUCCGGAUUUAUUGGGUUUAAAGGGUGCGUAGGCGGUCUAUUAAGUCAGUGUUUAAAUUUUGCAGCUUAACUGUAGGUAUGGCAUUGAUACUGAUGGACCUGAAUAUUAGAGAGGUAGCUGGAAUUUAUGGUGUAGCGGUGAAAUGCAUAGAUACCAUAAGGAACACCGAUAGCGGAGGCAGGUUACCAUCUGAUUAUUGACGCUGAGGCACGAAAGUGUGGGGAUCAAACAGGAUUAGAUACCCUGGUAGUCCACACUGUAAACGAUGAUUACUAGAUGCCGGUGGCUUGCCAUCGGUGUUCAAGCGAAAGCGAUAAGUAAUCCACCUGGGGAUACGUUCGCAAGAAGAGAAGACGAAGAAGUAGAGGCGAGAGAGAGACGACGGACGACACGAGGGAGGAGG
rnacentral:rRNA from 1 species